CAACUUGCGUCGGGUCUUUAGGGCCGCCAGGUCCGCCGCUGUCCACGUUAUCAGAUCCUCGUUCAGGGCGACGUAAUCGCGGCCAUCGUAAGCAGACUGCUCAUACCCUCGGAGUAGGCUCCCGUCUGGCCCCAGGUCACAACCAACCAACCACUGGAAGGUGUGAGAGCCUGCGGGAUCCCGCGGACUGAGCCCCAGCCCAAGAGCAGAGGGAGGAGAUGUCCGCAGCCCCUGCACCAGUGCACAGCAGUGUCUCCUUCCAGUGCUCCAGGCAGCUGUGGAGCCACUCCAUGCAAGUGCUCUCCAGGUCAUCUUUCAGGGCGAUGUAACCGCGACUGUUGUAGGCCAUACUGCCAUUACCCCUGGAGGAGGCUCCCGUCGGACCCCACGUCACAGCCAUACAUCCACUGGAAAGUGUGAGAGCCUGCGGGACCUCGCGGUCAGCUCCGCCCGCCCUUUGCGCCCUAGCAAUCCCCUAAACUAAAAGUGAAAGUGGGUCUUGGGUCCCAGCGGGUCCCGCAAGUUCUGGGGAGCUCCUGGGACUUGGGACCCAGGACUUCUCUGGCCCCUGAGUGAGAGGAGGAGGGGUUGUGACUUCCGACCUGGUGUCACUCACCACCCUUGCUCUGGUUGUAAUAGCCAAGCAGGGUCCUUAGAUGCACUGGAAAACUCUUCUCAUGGCCUUGUGCGACUUUUGUCUGUAGCUCCCAAUACUCAUGCCCCUGGAGCUUCAUCCAUGGCGCGGGCGGCUCAUAUCUCGGAUUCUCCGCGUCGCUGUCGAAGCGCACGAACUGCAUGUCGUUCACGUAGCCGGCCUCCGUGUACAGGGGCUUCCCGUGGCCGGGCCGGGGCAUGGCAGUGGAGAAAUACGGCAUCGAGUGUGAGCCUGGGGGCAGCGCGCGGUGAGACCCCGACUUCCUCCCAGGACACGGGGCUGGUAAGCGGUCCCGGAAGGGAGCAGGGCGCGGGGCUCCGGACGAGGGUGGAGAAGGGGCGGAGGGUGCGGUGGGCGACCCGGGGAAGCGACUUCCCAGGUGCGGUCCCCGCCCCGCCCAUGUCCACAGAGGCCUUUUCCCUCCCGACGCCGCACCAACCCUCAAGUGUCUGGGUCCAGGCCAGGGCGGUCGCCUGCAGCAGAAGCAGCAUUCGCUGCGCCCUUGCCCCCAUCUGGCAAUCAGGGCGGGUCUGAAUUCUGCAAUCUGCCAGGACUUCACAACCAGAGCCCAAGGCCAAGGUGGCUGGUUUCCCAGGAUCUUGCUAUCUAAUGGGGGUGAGAUCUGAGAGCAAGUCAUUCAUUAGUGUCCUGGAGAAGGAUCUCACCCAGGUUAGGAGCAGAAGUGAAACUGGAGAGAUGGGGAAUCCAGGGCCCUGGGAUUGCCCACCCCUGACCUAGCCUGGACUAAGACUUUGCUUUGAACACUUAUAAUUGAAAUAAAAUGCUAAGAUGUUUGCCUUA
ensembl:lincRNA